rnacentral:rRNA from 1 species
GACGAACGCUGGCGGCGUGCUUAACACAUGCAAGUCGAACGGAAAGGCCCUGCUUUUGUGGGGUGCUCGAGUGGCGAUCGGGUGAGUAACACGUGAGUAACCUGCCCUUGACUUUGGGAUAACUUCAGGAAACUGGGGCUAAUACCGGAUAGGAGCUCCUGCUGCAUGGUGGGGGUUGGAAAGUUUCGGCGGUUGGGGAUGGACUCGCGGCUUAUCAGCUUGUUGGUGGGGUAGUGGCUUACCAAGGCUUUGACGGGUAGCCGGCCUGAGAGGGUGACCGGCCACAUUGGGACUGAGAUACGGCCCAGACUCCUACGGGGGGCAGCAGUGGGGAGUAUUGCACAAUGGGGGGAAGCCUGAUGCAGCAACGCCGCGUGCGGGAUGACGGCCUUCGGGUUGUAAACCGCUUUCGCCUAUGACGAAGCGUGAGUGACGGUAAUGGGUAAAGAAGCACCGGCUAACUACGUG